rnacentral:rRNA from 1 species
UACGAAGGGGGCUAGCGUUGUUCGGAAUCACUGGGCGUAAAGCGCGCGUAGGCGGCUAUGCAAGUCAGAGGUGAAAUCCCAGAGCUCAACUCUGGAACUGCCUUUGAAACUGCAUAGCUAGAGUAUGGUAGGGGAUAGCGGAAUUCCUAGUGUAGAGGUGAAAUUCGUAGAUAUUAGGAGGAACACCAGUGGCGAAGGCGGCUAUCUGGACCAUAACUGACGCUGAGGCGCGAAAGCGUGGGGAUCAAACAGG